rnacentral:rRNA from 1 species
UGAGGAAUCUUGCGCAAUGGGGGAAACAGCGAUAAGGGAACCUCGAGUGCCAGGUUACAAAUCUGGCUGUCGAGAUGCCUAAAAAGCAUUUCAUAGCAAGGGCCGAGCAAGACCGGUGCCAGCCGCCGCGGUAACACCGGCGGCUCGAGUGGUAACCGUUAUUAUUGGGUCUAAAGGGUCUGUAGCCGGCCGGAUAAGUCUCUUGAGAAAUCUGGCAGCUUAACUGUCAGGCUUUCAGGAGAUACUGUCUGGCUCGAGGCCGGGAGAGGUGAGAGGUACUUCAGGGGUAGGGGUGAAAUCUUGUAAUCCUUGAAGGACCACCAGUGGCGAAGGCGUCUCACCAGAACGGACCUGACGGCAAAGGACGAAAGCUAGGGGCACGAACC